UAAAUUACCCUCAUUGAUUUAUUUAUUUAAUUUUUUAUUUAAUUUUGAUCGGCCCACAUUUAAGCAUACAAUAACACAAUAAUUACUUUAAAUACCUGAACUUAGCUCUCUCUCUCUCUCUCUCUCUCUAUAUAUAUANUUUAAGAAAAAUUAACAAAUAAUAGUUAAAAUGGUUUUAACACGAGGUUGUAACUUAAGAAAAUGGUUAUUCAAUAUUAUAAAUUUAAGUUUAUUCAAAAAAUAAAAAGGGGACGUCACAUCGUUUUUUAUCAUAACAAAAAGGGUAUAAGUAAAACAAAUGGCCCUACCACUAGUACUCAUCAAAAUUUUGACCAAUGACGAAUCAUGGGGGAGUUCAGAAAUUUCUGUCUCCGCCGCGGAAUCGCUGCUGAGCAUUGGCUUUGACUCCUCACAGUAAACAUAAAUUGGUGGAAGAGGAGACCAGAUGGUGGAGGAUUCUGGUCGGCAAUGUUUAUCUCUGUCGAAAUGUAACAACAAUUGAUGGCUGCCGGAGUUGGUAACGUUGUAGUAAGAGAAGAAGGCCAUGAAGAAAACUCGAAGAUUUUUAAAUAGCUGAUUCCUGUCCACUGAGUAUGGGUCCAUGGGACUUUUACAUCGUCAAGUUUCAGUUUUCAAUGUUUGGUAAACAAUUUUCAAUCUAUUAUCUUUUCGUUGAAACUUCUCAAGCAACUUGCAACUUUAGGGGCCACAAAAUUUGUGGUGGGCAUUAAUUUAAUCCAUAUCUUUUUACUGUAAACAAUAAUUGAAAUUCCAAUUCAUCAACAUCUCUUAAUAAUUGAAAUCAUUCUCUCGUUGCAUCCUUUCAUCCACAUCUCUACUAUAUUCUCUGCUCUUACCAUAAACAAUGGCUGAAAGCAUUCUUUCUGCCUUCUUGACAGUGGUCUUUGAAAAGCUGGCUUCUGAACCCUUGAAGAAGAUCGCUCGUUCAAAGGGAAUUGAUUCUGAGCUGAAGAAAUUGAAAAGGACAUUAGACCAGAUCCAAGAUCUUCUUAACGAUGCUUCUCAGAAGGAAAUAAAUAAUGAAGCUAUUAAAAGAUGGCUGAAUGGUCUCCAACAUUUGGCUUACGACAUUGACGACCUACUUGAUGACUUGGCAACCGAAGCUAUUCAUCGUGAGUUGACCCGGGAAUCUGGAGCCUCCACCAGCAUGGUAAGAAAGCUAAUCCCAAGUUGUUGCACAAUUCUCCCACUAAAUAGUAGGAUGCAUGCCAAGUUAGAUGAUAUCGCCACAAAGUUACAAGAACUGGUAGAGGCAAAAAAUAAUCUUGGUUUGAGUGUGAUUACAAAUGAAAAGCCAAAAAUUGAAAGAUAUGAGACGUCUUUGGUGGGUGCAAGUCGUAUUGUUGGACGUGAAGGUGAUAAGAAUAAAUUGCUUCAGAAGCUGUUGGGGGAUAAAGAUGAAUCAGGGAGUCAAAACUUCAGCAUCGUUCCCAUAGUUGGUAUGGGUGGGGUAGGCAAAACAACUCUAGCUAGACUCUUGUAUGACGAAAAGGAAGUGAAUGAUCACUUUGAACUAAAGGCUUGGGUUUGUGUUUCUGAUGAGUUCAGUGUUCCCAACAUAAGCAGAGUUAUUUAUCAAUCUGUAACCGGGGAAAACAAGGAAUUUGCAGAUUUAAAUCUGCUUCAAGAAGCUCUUAAAGAGAAACUUCAGAACAAACUAUUUCUAAUAGUGUUAGAUGAUGUAUGGUCUGAAAGCUAUAAUGAUUGGGAUAAAUUAGUGGGCCCAUUUCUUGUAGGGUCUCCUGGAAGUAGAAUUAUCAUGACAACUCGGAAGGAGCAAUUGCUUAGAAAGCUGGGUUUCUCUCAUCAUGAUUGUUUGCAGGGUCUGUCACAUGACGAUGCAUUGUCAUUAUUUGCUCAACAUGCAUUGGGUGUAGAUAACUUUGAUUCACAUCCAACACUUGGACCAUAUGGUGAAGGGUUUGUGAAAAAAUGUGAUGGCUUGCCUUUGGCUUUACAAACACUUGGGAGGUUAUUGAGGACAAAAACAGAUGAGGAAGAAUGGAAGGAGCUAUUGGGUAGUGAAAUAUGGAGGUUGGAAAAUGGAGAUAAUAUUCUUCUGGCUCUUAGACUAAGCUAUAAUGAUCUUUCUGCCACUUUGAAGCUGUUGUUUGCAUAUUGCUCCUUGUUCCCCAAGGACUAUGUGUUCGAUAAGGAGGAGUUGAUUUUGUUGUGGAUGGCAGAAGGGUUUUUGCAACACUCUACUACAAACAAGUCCAUGGAACGCUUGGGACUCGAAUAUUUUGAAGAGCUGUUGUCGAGGUCCUUUUUUCAACAAUCUUCCAAUGAUGAAUCUUUGUUUGUGAUGCAUGACCUUAUGAAUGACUUGGCCAUGUCUGUUGCUGGAGAUUUUUUUUCAAGGUUAGACAUUAGGAUGAAGAAGGAAUAUAGGAAGGAAUCUUUGGAAAUUCACCGCCAUAUGUCAUUUGUUUGUGAGAAUUACAUGAGUAACAAAAGGUUCGAGCCAUUCAAGGGAGCUAAAAGUUUAAGAACAUUCUUAGCGUUAUCUGUUGGGGUGGUAGAAAGUUGGGAUGUAUUUUACUUAUCAAAUAAGGUCUUGAAUGACUUACUUCAUGAGUUACCAUUGUUAAGGGUCCUAAGUUUGAGCAAUCUUAACAUAUGGUGGGUACCUGAAUUCAUUGGUAGUUUGAAGCACUUGCGGUAUCUUAAUUUAUCUUGAACUUGGAUCACACAUUUACCGGACAAUGUCUGCAAUCUUUAUAAUUUACAAACCCUGAAUGUUUCUUGCUGUCAUAAUUUAAUUAAAUUACCAAAAAGCUUCUCAAAGCUUCAAAAUCUACAGCAUUUUGACUGUAGGGACACUCCACUUUUGAAGAAGAUGCCCUUAGGGAUUGGUGAGUUGAAAAGCCUACGCACUCUCACCAAGAUCAUUGUUGGAAUGGAGAACCAUUUUGCAUUAACAGACCUUAAAAAAUUGAAAAAUCUCCAUGGGAAAAUUUCCAUUCUGGAGCUUGGCAACGUGCAAAAUGCAAUGAAUGCAAAUGAGGCGAACUUAUCCCAAAAUCGAUUCAGUGAGUUAGAGUUGGAUUGGGGUAAUGUGUUUAAUUCAUUUAGAACGGAAACAAAUGAAAAGGAGGUGCUAAGUGAGUUAAAGCCUCAUACUGACACUUUAAAAAAGCUUGAUAUCAGGUUUUAUAGAGGUAUAGAGUUUCCAAAUUGGGUUGGAGAUCCCUCGUUUCUUUGGUUGACUCGUGUGUCAAUACGUAACUGUGUAACAUGUACAUCUCUACCAUCACUCGGGCAACUACCAUCACUUAAGGAGUUGAUUAUUGAAGGCAUGGAUGAGGUGAAAAUUGUGGGUUUGGAGUUUCUUGGGACUUCUAGUCCUGCAUUCCCUUCACUUGAAAUUCUACGUUUUGUUGAUAUGAAGGGGUGGGAGGUAUGGUCAGCAGAAAGUGGUGGGGUUGGACUUGCUACGUUUCCAUCCCUUCAAGAGCUUACUAUACAAAGUUGUCCUAAUCUAUAUCAAGUAUCACUUGGAGCAAUACCUUCACUGAGGGUUCUAUACCUAACACAAUGUGGUCAUGGUGUGUUGACAACUCUGGUUCAUGUAGCUUCAUCUAUCACUAUGUUGGAAAUACGUGGCAUUUCAGGGCUUACAGAUCAACUGUGGAGAGGUGUUACAAAGUAUCUUGGGGCAGUAGAAGAAAUAAGCAUCGAUAAGUGUGAUGAAAUAAGAUACUUGUGGGAAUCUGAAUCAGAGGCAAGUAAGGUUCUUGUGAAUUUAAGGACAUUGCAUGUAUCGUCUUGUUCAAAUUUGGUGAGUUUAGGAGAGAAAGAAGAGGAUAAUUGUGGGAGCUACCUAACAUCUCUUAGGACAUUACUUGUAUACUAUUGUAACAGCUUAGAGCAUUGCAAUUUUCCAGAUAAUGUGGAGGAUUUGCAUAUUCGGUAUUGUGAUUCAAUUACAUUUGUCUCCUUCCUAACAGGAAGGUGGCAGAAGCUCAAGACACUUUCCAUUGCUGGUUGUAAGGAACUACCAGAAAAGGAGUUGCGAGGAGGAGAAUGUUCCUUCAUUCACCUCACCAGAUUGAUAAUAGAAGAAUGUUCAAAUAUGGAGUCAUUUCCUGACCUUGAGUUACCGAAUCUCACCUCGUUAACAGAUCUGACAAUUCAAAAGUGUACAAGUAUGGAUGCUUCCUUCCCUCAUGGGCUUUGGCCUCCGAAAUUGUGUCGCCUUGAAAUAGGAGGUUUGAAGAAGCCCAUCUCAGAGUGGGGCCCACAUAAUUUUCCAACAUCACUUGUUGACCUAAUAUUAUAUGGUGGACCAUUUGAUGAUGCUAAAAAUUUCGAUCAAUUGUCCCACAUUCUUCCUUCGUCUCUUACUUCUCUUCGAAUACAAAAUUUUAGGAAACUGGAAUUGGUUUCUACGGGACUCCAACACCUCACCUCCCUCCAACGUCUCUUCAUCUUCACCUGCCCAAAGACGAAAGAUCUUCCAGAAAAGUUGUUGCCUUCACUUCUGAUAUUGUGGAUAUUUGGAUGCCGAAAUUUGAAAGAAAGGAUUAGUAGAGGAGGCUCUUAUUGGCCCCACAUCUCCCUUAUCCCCUGCUUCAACAUACACUAGUAAUUACAACUUUAUUGU
rnacentral:lncRNA from 1 species